UCACAGUAUGGAUACGACCAACUAUAUGGCGGCUAUAGCAAAGGUAGUCAAGCGAUCCAACAGGGCCAGCAGGGAAUCAGCAGAUACGUGAAUCUCAAUAGCCAAGGUAGUCAAGCAAUCCAACAGGGCCAGCAAGGAAUCAGCAGAUAUGUUAAUCAUAAUAGUGAUUUUCAAUCUCACCAAGGGUACGGGAGAUAUAUAGACCCACAAGGUCAUUGGCAGGACCAGCAUAGACUUGGCUGAACAAACAAAAAAAUGUCAAGGAAAAGUCGUCACUGAAGGAGACAAAAUGACAGUUUCAGUUGAUAUGGAUCAGUUAACUUUUUUUUUUUAAAUUUAAGAAUAACACUAUUUUUUUUAAUGCAAAAUAAACGUGUCUUCAAGGA